rnacentral:rRNA from 1 species
UACGGGGGGGCAAGCGUUGUUCGGAAUUACUGGGCGUAAAGGGCUCGUAGGCGGCCAACUAAGUCAGACGUGAAAUCCCUCGGCUUAACCGGGGAACUGCGUCUGAUACUGGAUGGCUUGAGGUUGGGAGAGGGAUGCGGAAUUCCAGGUGUAGCGGUGAAAUGCGUAGAUAUCUGGAGGAACACCGGUGGCGAAGGCGGCAUCCUGGACCA